GAAAUGCGAUAAGUAAUGUGAAUUGCAGAAUUCAGUGAAUCAUCGAAUCUUUGAACGCACAUUGCGCCCUUUGGCAUUCCGAAGGGCAUGCCUGUUCGAGCGUCAUUACACCAAUCAAGCCUGGCUUGGUAUUGGGCGACGGGGUCGGUCGAACCACCCCCCGCCCCAAAGACCUCUCCGGCGGGACGGACCGAAUCUCAGCGUUGUGCAAACGUGUCGCUGGCGAGACGGGACGGCCGUGCCGUUAAACCCCAUUUUCUUCAAGGUUGACCUCGGAUCAGGUAGGGAUACCCGCUGAACUUAAGC
rnacentral:misc_RNA from 1 species